rnacentral:tRNA from 2 species
GCUGCUGUGGCUCAGUCGGUAGAGCACUUCCUUGGUAAGGAAGAGGUCAUGAGUUCGAUUCUCAUCAGCAGCUCCA